rfam:Triticum aestivum genome assembly, contig: Triticum_aestivum_CS42_TGACv1_scaffold_451036_5DL
GUAGUACUCCCUCCGUUCCGAAUUACUUGUCGCAGAAAUGAAUAUAUCUAGAACUAAAAAAUUUCUAGAUACAUCCAUUUCUACGACAAGUAAUUCCGAACGGAGGGAGUUCAAA